rnacentral:rRNA from 1 species
GAUCUGGCUCAGGAUGAACGCUAGCUACAGGCUUAACACAUGCAAGUCGAGGGGCAGCAUUGGGAUAGCUUGCUAUUCAGAUGGCGACCGGCGCACGGGUGAGUAACGCGUAUCCAACCUCCUGCCAGUAGGGAACAGCCCGGCGAAAGUCGGAUUAAUGCCCUAUGUUCUUCAAUGCGGACAUCUAAGUUGAAGGAAAGAUUCAUCGCUGGCAGAUGGGGAUGCGUCCGAUUAGCUUGCCGGCGGGGUAACGGCCCACCGGGGCGACGAUCGGUAGGGGUUCUGAGAGGAAGGUCCCCCACACUGGUACUGAGACACGGACCAGACUCCUACGGGAGGCAGCAGUGAGGAAUAUUGGUCAAUGGGCGUAAGCCUGAACCAGCCAAGUAGCGUGCAAGGAUGACGGCCCUACGGGUUGUAAACUGCUUUUAUGCGGGGAUAAAGUGCGGCACGUGUGCCGCUUUGCAGGUACCGCAUGAAUAAGGACCGGCUAAUUCCGUGCCAGCCGCGGC